UCGUCAAAGAAAACUAUAAGUAUUUUGAAUUGCUCUACCACUAGAUGAUGAUGAACUUUGUUGUUCUGUAACGUUGUUUUGUUGUUCCAGUCUUUCCAGUGAUUCUGUACGUGUUCUUAUAGAACCACCAUAUCUAUUAAGAUGAACCAGAAAUUUUAAGAAUACUGUACACAUAAAAGCGAGCUCCUUGUCCCACGGUCAUAUUUAUUGAGCACCAUUGUCUCUUAUAUUAAUAAAACUCUUUAAUACUAA